GUGGGGAAUUUUGGACAAUGGGCGCAAGCCUGAUCCAGCAAUGCCGCGUGCAGGAAGAAGGCCUUCGGGUUGUAAACUGCUUUUGUACGGAACGAAACGGUCCUGGUUAAUACCUGGGGCUAAUGACGGUACCGUAAGAAUAAGCACCGGCUAACUACGUGCCAGCAGCCGCGGUAAUACGUAGGGUGCAAGCGUUAAUCGGAAUUACUGGGCGUAAAGCGUGCGCAGGCGGGUUUGUAAGACAGGCGUGAAAUCCCCGGGCUCAACCUGGGAAUUGCGCUUGUGACUGCAAGGCUGGAGUGCGGCAGAGGGGGAUGGAAUUCCGCGUGUAGCAGUGAAAUGCGUAGAUAUGCGGAGGAACACCGAUGGCGAAGGCAAUCCCCUGGGCCUGCACUGACGCUCAUGCACGAAAGCGUGGGGAGCGAACAGGAUUAGAAACCCCAGUAGUCC
rnacentral:rRNA from 1 species